GAGGCUCACACUCAAAGUACUUGUCAUAAACCCUUGCAUCAGCAUGUACGUGCAUUGCAUUGUUAUGACAGUGAGUUUAAGGGUUAGCCCGAAGAAGUUUCAUAGCUGUUUGUUAUGAAGGUGUGCGGAGCUCAUUUAUUUGGUUUGGUGUCACAGUUUCAUGUUCGACGCUGUAUUGGCGACUCCGUUUUUUCUCGUACCUCGUUUUUCCUUGUCAGCCCAGUGUAACGCAACAUCAUGCGAAAGAGGAAGGUGCCAGGAGACCCCCAAUAACACAACGUGCCACUGUGAUCCUGGCUUUGAGGGAGACAGGUGCCAAACAGCGGUGAAAUGCCCCCCCCUGCCUGACCCUGAAAAUGGAAACCUCAGCUGCUCGGGGGAAAAUGUGACGUUCAACUCAACCUGUCGCCUGAAAUGCUACCCGGGCUUCCUGAUAAAAGGGCCGCGGGACGUUACCUGUUGUGCCAGCGGGGUCUGGAGCGGGCCAAGACCUCAUUGUGCAAUCUACAAACAGGGUCUGUUUGCUGUUGUUGGGUGUGCAUCCUUUUCAGUCUUCUUCUGCAUCUGUUUUUGCUGGAUGCAGCGCAGAAAAAGUUAGUAUUUCUCAAUCCCAAUACCUAAAAACCAAGAUGCGUGUGGUUGCAACAGACCCCAACACUGAGCUGUUUGUCUUCCGA